CCUACGGGUGGCAGCAGUGAGGAAUAUUGGUCAAUGGUCGGGAGACUGAACCAGCCAAGCCGCGUGAGGGAGGAAGGUACAGAGUAUCGUAAACCUCUUUUGUCAGGGAACAAAGGCGGGGCCGUGUCCCCGGAUGAGUGUACCUGAAGAAAAAGCAUCGGCUAACUCCAUGCCAGCAGCCGCGGUAAUACGGAGAAUGCGAGCGUUAUCCGGAUUUAUUGGGUUUAAAGGGUGGGCGGGGGGUCUGCUAAGUCAGCGGUCAAAGCCCGGGGCUCAACCCCGGCCAGCCGUUGAAACUGGCAGUCUCGAGUUGGAGAGAGGGAUGCGGAAUGCGCGGUGUAGCGGUGAAAUGCAUAGAUAUCGCGCAGAACUCCGAUUGCGAAGGCAGCAUGCCGGCUCCACACUGACGCUGAGGCACGAAAGCGUGGGUAUCGAACAGGAUUAGAUACCCGGGUAGUC
rnacentral:rRNA from 1 species